GUUGCUAGAACAAUCUCGGUGGUUCAACUAGACCAAGAAUUAGAAUAUGCAAGCUAAUGAGGAUAAGGAAUGGUUGUGAGUCGAAAUUCAGAUAAACCCAAUGCGUUAAACGAGGGGGAGUUGAAGGAUCUUGUGCAAUUUUGGGUUAAGUUCUAGUAAUGUUUCAGGUACUUUCCGAUGGCAAUGUCAAAGAGUAGAAACCGUUUUGUUUUGUAAGGUAUUUUCUGAUGGCAAUGUCAAAGAGUAGAAGCCUCACACAGUGUGCAGCAAAAACUAUUCGACGCAAAGCUGAAGUGGAUACACAAGUUGGUGGUUACAGUCACUGUUCUCUUUGAAAUUUUAAAGUAUAUUUCUCAUAUUUGGAUUCGACUAUUCAUGGUUGAGGUACAUUUCUCAUAUGUGUCUGUGUACAAGUACAACUAGUAGAGAGGAGUUAGUUAGGUCUAAAUUGAAGUAUAAAGUUUCGCUACUUUUAAGGUCAACUUUAAAGUCGGAGAUUCUGUAAGUUAAUUUGUUUCUUUUCUUAUGGUGAAGUAGGAUUUUUUAUAAUCUGUAACAUAAACUUCUUUUUUGUUAAUGAAAUCCGAAUUGUUUGUUUUAA